GGAUAAAGAUACACUUUCACUGUGUCACACAGUGAAAAGGCAGCAGUCUAUGAGACAGAAGGUGGGCCUUCCCCAGGCACUGAAUCUGCCCACACCUUGACCUAGGACUUCCCAGCCUUCAGGACUGAGAUGAAUCCAAGGCUCACCUGUAAGAUCCAGACAGGACAAAUCUCCAGUCCGAGAUGAUGAACUUCUCCCGGAUUUGGCCAGCGAAUUUCCUGCCUGACUUGGCACAGUAUAUCUCUCCUUCCACACUCCGGAUGGAAAUGUUCUGUUGGAGGGAAAGUCAAGGUGUCACUUCCUAAUUCUGUUUAUAGAGAUACAUUUGGGCUUUAGGCUGGAUGUUUAUGUUCCCUUUACCCCCAUUCUGUGUUGAAACCUAAUCCCCAGGGUGACGGUACUAGAAGGUGGGGCCUUUGGGAGGAGAUUAGGUCAUGAAGAUGGAGUGCUCAUGAAUGGGAGGAGUGCCUUAUAAAGGAGGCCUAGAGAUCUGCCUCACUCCUUCUGCCAUGUGAGGACACAGCAAGAAGACAGCCAUUUAUAAGCCAGGAAGUGGGCUUCACCAGAUGCCGAAUCUGCCAGAACGUUGAUCUUGGAGUUCCCAGCCUCUAGAACCAUGACGAAUAAAUUUCUGUUGUUAUGAA